ACGGAGUCCAUCUCACGCUGCAAAAUGGACGCUCAAUAAUCAUAUUGUCUCAAAAGAAUUAGUCCAUGGUUCUUUACUUUUGCUUAUGAUUACAAACUAUUUGUUUAACCAAUUUAACCACUUUAGAUUAUGAUCAGUUAAUAAAAACCUGAAUCUGCAGCAGUGGUCUCCGCCUGCUACGUUUGCAGGCAGUGAAGGUUUCGCACUAUGAACUAAGAAGAGCUCCUGCGGCUCCUCUUCCUGAGUCCUCAUGGGCUCCGCAGAGCCAGGAAAGUAGAAGGUCUUCUCCUGUCUCAUUCAGUCCUUGGUGCCACUCUAGCAGGAGGUGGAGCUUGACAGGCAGAACAUCAGAAACAAUCUGUCAACACAACAUAAUUUAGACUCUGGUUGUAGCUGCUCUACAACAUCUGAUUGGGCUCCAGUACCAGCGAUGCAGCUCUUUAUGUCAUUGGUUUUAUUCACUGGGUUUGCUGGUAAAAGUCAUCAGCAAACCAUCCACUCAAUGCAGAACAGAGUCCAGGCUCUACAAGGAGACAACGUGACUCUCUCCUGCAACUAUACCUCAUCAAACUAUUUAUUCUGGUAUCGCCAGUUCCCCAGCUCACCUCCACAGUUCCUUAUUAAGGAAUACCAGAAGGCCUUUCGAUUUACUUUUAAAAAGGAAGAAGAACGAAACCUGUUCCAUCUGGAGAUCUCCUCUGCUGUGUUGACAGACUCUGCUCUGUACUACUGUGCUCUGAGGCCCACAGUGACAGGAAACACAGACUCCCUGUACAAAAACCUGCUGAGCACAAAACACACUUCCCUCUCCCCCUGAAACCAGCACACAGACAUGACUGACUAAACACGAUAACUCAUCACAACGGGGAACUCAUAAUUAAUUAUCCAUUUUCACCAUAAUCCCGAUAUCUUAUAAUUUGUAUGCAGUUUUUGCAUUUACAUUUUCUUGUUUAAAGUAUUCACGUUAAAAUAGUUUUAUUUUAUUUGUGUCGAAUUUUUGUCUUAUUAAAUUAAUAAUUUGA